GAUUGUGAAAACCAUUCUGGGGUUGCUGUUCUGUGCAGAGAAUAGGGCUCUCCUAAGAAUGAUCUGCAGUUUCCAGGAGUGUGACGGAAGCCACUAUGUGGUAUAAAAACACUUUCGAUGUCUGGUGCAGGGCCAAGCAGCAAUCCAAGGGCACUUUGCUGCCUAGGGGGCUUCAGCUGCAGGAUUUUCUCUGGCGUUCAUGGCAAGCUGCUGAUUCCAGGACAGGCGCCUGCUAAAGAGCCCCCGGGAGGCAGAGAAGGCAGAAGAGAGAAUGGGUGUUUCAGGGACAAGAUACUGGGUGCUGGUCAGGGUUUCACCUACAUCAUCCCUACACAGAUGUAGGAAAGCUAUUAUGAAAUCUAUUCUGUAUUUUUCAUUCUCUUCUUUAAUUUUAAAAGAAGAAGCAGCUAAUAAAACAAAUGGAUAAGUUCCUCUA